UGAAAUUCAAAUUCCAAUUUCCCUUAAAUUUCUUUAAUUUUUUGCGAACCGAACCCUUAAAAUUUUUAAGAAAUCUUUAAGUUCCGUUCCGUACCCGCUCCUUAUGAAAUUUUAUCCCUUUCAUCAUUCCCACCCACCCCCAAAUUAAUGCACCUUAACCCUAAAUCUACGCCUUAUUUCACCCCACCCAACCCAAUUGUCUGUCUUCCUCGCCUUAUUUCUUCCAAAUCACAAUCUUUUUGUUCAGGCUGUCUAGAUCGUUGACCCACUACUACCAGAUCCCUCAAUGGCGACUUCUUGACAUUUGUAGAAAUUCGAUUUGGUCUUGUGGAAGGAUUGUAAUUUGGGAGGUUAUAGUUGCAUCUGCACGUCAUUUUAGUUGUUUCUGAAAUAAUAGUUCUAGUUGUUGCUCUUGAUCUGAGGAGGUAUGAAAUCAUAUUCUGGUUCUACGAUCGAUGCUUGGAUGGUGUGUUAAAAUGAUUGGUUUUUUCAUGUCAACAUUUUUGGGCCAAAAGUUGGAACUCUUAGAUUUCAUCACAACAACCACAAACUUGCAAGAUGGUUCAAGAUACAGCUCUAGCUUUAUUAAGAAAUGAAUUCAAGAUGUUAAAGUUUUACACAUUUAUUCCUUUAUAAUUGUAGAACUUGUUUAUACUUUAAAGAAAUAUA
rnacentral:lncRNA from 1 species